AGAGGUCCAAUGUUAAGACCAUGUUCUGGACAUUGCGUUGCACAGAUGAGAGGUCCAUGUAAGAACAAUGUCUGGGACAUGGCGUUGGCACUGAGAUGAGA
rnacentral:pre_miRNA from 1 species